AGGUGGAGAAACCAUGUUCCCUUUCGAGAAUGCACAGAAUAUGGAUGUUAAUUAUGACUUCCGCAAGUGUAUUGGUCUGAAAGUGAAGCCGCGUAGAGGGGAUGGACUACUAUUUUACUCGCUGUUUCCAAAUGGUACAAUUGAUCCGACAUCUCUUCACGGGAGCUGUGCAGUAAUCCGAGGUGAAAAAUGGGUUGCCACAAAGUGGAUCAGGGAUCAAGAAAUGGAUGAAUAAACGAGUACAUGUCUGGAAGUGGUGUUAAUAUAAUUCUUU
rnacentral:misc_RNA from 1 species